UACGGAGGGAGCUAGCGUUAUUCGGAAUUACUGGGCGUAAAGCGCACGUAGGCGGCUUUGCAAGUUAGAGGUGAAAGCCUGGAGCUCAACUCCAGAACUGCCUUUAAAACUGCAUCGCUUGAAUCCAGGAGAGGUGAGUGGAAUUCCGAGUGUAGAGGUGAAAUUCGUAGAUAUUCGGAAAGAACACCAGUGGCGAAGGGCGGCUCACUGGACUGGUAUUGACGCUGAGGUGCGAAAGCGUGGGGAGCAAACAGGGAUUAAG
rnacentral:rRNA from 1 species